AGCUUUGUAUUCAAAAUUGAUUUUAAAUUGCAAAUUUAAAGGUGAAUAGUAAAUUUAUUCUAAGGCUU
rnacentral:tRNA from 1 species